GGUCCUAUGGGGUAGUGGUUAUCCCACCGGAUUUUGAUGGACGAUAAUAAUACAUAUCGGCAAGGAGUCAAAAGCCUUCCGGUAACGCCGGUUCGAAUCCGGCUAGGACCU